AAAAGUAAAUAAUAUUUAUUAAUAUUAUUAUUAUCAUCACCCUUUUUUGUUUGUGUUUAUGUAAUGAAAAGAGGCUCUCUGUUCUGCUAUACACUAAAUAGAGUGUGACAUUCCAAUUAAUCAUGAGAAAGUAAAUAAAAAAAUAUAUUAAAAAAAAAAAACAGCCGACACAGGAAUACUACUUUAAAUGCAGGUGAUUUAAUAAUAAUAAAAAAAAAUUAAAUAUUGUAAAAAAUAAAUAAACAUAUAUACUUAAUUACAGACAUGACAUUUUGACUAUUCAGCCAGAGGAGAAUUGUCCUUUGUUGCAGCCUGUUUUAUCCUAAGUUGUUUCUCUCUCUCUCUUCUAUUCAACGUCAAAUUGAGUUUUUCAGUCCUUGCCACAAUCGCCUUUGACCUGCAUACUAGGGAGCUCAAGAUAUGUUGUAUUAUGUAUGAUGCUUCUUAUAUAAGUAUUAUGGAAUGACUUUUAAUUAAACUGCUUAAAUGUGGGGUUAUAUGACCACAAUUUUAAAACCCAUAGUUUAUAUGUCUCAUAUAACUGUGGUAGUAAUACACAUUUGUUUGUCAUCAAACCAAAUUGUUAUAAAUUUAACCAAACCCUACAGAUUUCCAUAUCAUCAUAUCCAGAUUUAUCAACAUGCACAAACAGUGCACUCACAUAAACCGAUAUAAACUAUAUAAGAAACUGCUUAACUGUUUAUAUCCUCACCAUAAGUAAACAUUCCUAUCACCCAUCUUUCAUCUGCUAAAUGUGGACAUUUAGGCAUUAAGGUAUAACAUUAAUGUUAUGAAUUUCUGUAAAUAUGCUUUGAUAGAAUGUGAAUGUGAAUUGAGAAAAGCGCUAUACAAAUAAAACAGACAUGACACAACACAUUAAAAACGUGUUCUAUUUUGAACAACUGAAUUCAUUAAAUUUGGCUGUAAUAGCCUGCCAUUGACAGUAUUAUACAUACAAACACAGCAGUAGUUGUAACAUCUACAUAAUUGCUAAAAUUCUGCAAGUACACAUUUAACCUCUUUUCCCACAUGCAGGACUGAAAUACAUAUUUAAUAAAGCCAGAGGGAUAGAUUCGUAAUGUGUCUCCUCUGCAAGAAAUUUCUUUUGAGUCCAAACAAACACACACACACACACACACACACACGUUUUAACUGCUACCCUGCAGUCAGUAGGGCCUCCCUCCAAGGGCUGUCCUGAUCUGCUCUCGUUCCUGAGCGGUUGGCAUAUCAGGCUUCACUCCGUCACGCCUACGCUGCAGCAUCACACCAUGCUGAGAAUGUGAAAUGGGAUGAAAUAAAUGGGGAUGAAUCAAACUCAGCAGGGGAGCCCAUCCUCCUAAAAACAACAAAAGAGUUUGGUAAACAUCUGUUUGAUUUAGACUAUACUGUGGUUUUUUACUUUUGGUAAAGUGGAUCAAAAUAUGACAUGUUCUGCUCAGGGUCAUAUACAAUUUUAUUUCAUUAUUAUUUUUAAUUAAUAAUAAUGCUCUCAAUUAGCAAAUCUUAGUCAACAGCAACAGGUCAGGGUUUGGCCGAUC
ensembl:lncRNA